CAAUAGCGUAUAUUAAAGUUGUUGCAGUUAAAAAGCUCGUAGUUGGACCUCUGGGAGGGACCCAAUGUCCGCCGUGUGCGUGCGCAGCGGGGCCCUUCCAUCCUUCUGUUAACGUUUCUCGGUAUUCGCUUACUGGUUUCGGGCUCAGAUAUUUUACCUUGAGAAAAUUAGAGUGUUUCAGGCAGGCUUGCGCCGGAAUACAUUAGCAUGGAAUAAUAGAAUAGGACUUUUGUCUCCUUUGUUGGUUUGAGGGACCGAAGUAAUGAUUAAUAGGGACAGUUGGGGGCAUUAGUAUUUAAUUGUCAGAGGUGAAAUUCUCGGAUUUGUUAAAGACUAACUUAUGCGAAAGCAUUUGCCAAGGAUGUUUUCAUUAAUCAAGAACGAAAGUUAGGGGAUCAAAGACGAUCAGAUACCAU
rnacentral:rRNA from 1 species